rnacentral:rRNA from 1 species
GACGAACGCUGGCGGCGUGCUUAACACAUGCAAGUCGAGCGGAAAGGCCCCUUCGGGGGUACUCGAGCGGCGAACGGGUGAGUAACACGUGGGUAAUCAACCCCUGACAUCGGGAUACCCCGGGGAAACCCGGAUCAAUACCGGAUAAGGUGCGGAGGCGCAGGCCGCCGUACCAAAGGUAGCUUCGGCUUCCGGUCAGGGACGAGCCCGCGGCCCAUUAGCUUGUUGGUGGGGUAACGGCCCACCAAGGCGACGAUGGGUAGCUGGUCUGAGAGGACGAUCAGCCACACGGGGACUGAGACACGGCCCAGACUCCUACGGGAGGCAGCAGUGGGGAAUCUUGCGCAAUGGGCGGAAGCCUGAAGCAGCAACGCCGCGUGCGGGAAGAAGGCCCUAGGGUCGUAAACCGCUUUCAGGGGGGACGAAGCUUCCGGGGUUAAUAGCCUACGGGGUGACGGUACUCCCAGAAGAAGGUCCGGCUAACUACGUGCCAGCCGCCGCAGUAA